rnacentral:lncRNA from 1 species
GUUUGGAUUAAAUUAGGAUUUGAUUUAGGAUCCGGAUUGAAUUAGAAUUUGAUUUAGAAUUACGAUUGGAUUAAGAUUAGGAUUUGAAUUGAAUUAAGAUUUGGUUUAGAAUUAAGAUUAGAUUAGGAUUUAAAAUUUAAUUAAGAUUUGAUUAGGAUUUAGGAUUUGGUUUAGGAUUUGUUGAGUGUUUAAGAUUUAGGAUUUGUUUAAGGCUUAGGAUUUAAGAUUUACUUAAGAUUUAGGAUUUAGGAUUUAGGAUUUAUUUAAGAUUUAAGAUUUAGAAUUUGUUUAGGAUUUAGAAUUUAGGAUUUGCUUAUGGUUUACGGUUUAGGAUUUACUUAGAAUUUAGGAUUUAGGAUUUUCUUAGGAUUUAGGAUUUAAGAUUUUCUUAAGAAUUAGGUUUUGGCCUAAGGUUUGAUUGAAGUCUAUUAGAGUUUCAACUAAAAUUAAAUUAGGACUUAAUUGAUAUUUAUUUAAGAUAUAUUUAUAAUUAUUUUGAUAUUUUUUU